CCUACGGGAGGCAGCAGUAAGGAAUAUUGGUCAAUGGGCGGAAGUCUGAACCAGCCAUGCCGCGUGCAGGAUGACGGCCCUCUGGGUUGUAAACUGCUUUUAUAGGGGACGAAAAAAGGGGAUUCUUCCUCACUUGACGGUACCCUAGGAAUAAGCACCGGCUAACUCCGUGCCAGCAGCCGCGGUAAUACGGAGGGUGCAAGCGUUAUCCGGAUUUACUGGGUUUAAAGGGUGCGUAGGUGGGUCGGUAAGUCAGCGGUGAAAUCUUCGAGCUUAACUCGGAAACUGCCAUUGAUACUAUCGAUCUUGAAUCGUCUAGAGGUAAGCGGAAUAUGUCAUGUAGCGGUGAAAUGCUUAGAUAUGACAUAGAACACCAAUUGCGAAGGCAGCUUACUAUGGAUGUAUUGACACUGAGGCACGAAAGCGUGGGGAUCAAACAGGAUUAGAUACCCUGGUAGUCCACGCCCUAAACGAUGGAUACUCGACAUUUGAGAUAUACUUUAAAGUGUCUGAGCGAAAGCAUUAAGUAUCCACCUGGAAGUACGANGCAGAUAGAAUACAAUAGAGUAGACGNGNGAGAGAGACGAGAGACGACGAGGGAGGAG
rnacentral:rRNA from 1 species